ACAAUCUGGUUUCUCUUCAGAUUGUAUAAAUCUUUCGCCUUUUGCUAAAGAUUUCUAUGGAGAGGAGCAUUCGGAGUUUCAAUUAAUUUUUUGUUGCCCUGCUUUUGCACCCGGUG